rnacentral:rRNA from 1 species
UGCAGUCGAGCGAACAGAUAAGGAGCUUGCUCCUUUGACGUUAGCGGCGGACGGGUGAGUAACACGUGGGUAACCUACCUAUAAGACUGGAAUAACUCCGGGAAACCGGGGCUAAUGCCGGAUAACAUGUUGAACCGCAUGGUUCUACAGUGAAAGACGGUCUUGCUGUCACUUAUAGAUGGACCCGCGCCGUAUUAGCUAGUUGGUGGGGUAACGGCCUACCAAGGCGACGAUACGUAGCCGACCUGAGAGGGUGAUCGGCCACACUGGAACUGAGACACGGUCCAGACUCCUACGGGAGGCAGCAGUAGGGAAUCUUCCGCAAUGGGCGAAAGCCUGACGGAGCAACGCCGCGUGAGUGAUGAAGGUCUUCGGAUCGUAAAGCUCUGUUGUUAGGGAAGAACAAAUGUGUAAGUAACUGUGCACAUCUUGACGGUACCUAACCAGAAAGCCACGGCUAACUACGUGCCAGCAGCCGCGGUAAUACGUAGGUGGCAAGCGUUAUCCGGAAUUAUUGGGCGUAAAGCGCGCGUAGGCGGUUUUUUAAGUCUGAUGUGAAAGCCCACGGCUCAACCGUGGAGGGUCAUUGGAAACUGGAAAACUUGAGUGCAGAAGAGGAAAGUGGAAUUCCAUGUGUAGCGGUGAAAUGCGCAGAGAUAUGGAGGAACACCAGUGGCGAAGGCGGCUUUCUGGUCUGCAACUGACGCUGAUGUGCGAAAGCGUGGGGAUCAAACAGGAUUAGAUACCCUGGUAGUCCACGSCYGUAAACGAUGAGUGCUAAGUGUUAAGGGGGUUUCCGCCCCUUAGUGCUGCAGCUAACGCAUUAAGCACUCCGCCUGGGGAGUACGGUCGCAAGACUGAAACUCAAAGGAAUUGACGGGGACCCGCACAAGCGGUGGAGCAUGUGGUUUUAAUUCGAAGCAACGCGAAGAACCUUACCAAAUCUUGACAUCCUUUGACCGCUCUAGAGAUAGAGUUUUCCUCUUCGGAGGACAAAGUGACAGGUGGUGCAUGGUUGUCGUCAGCUCGUGUCGUGAGAUGUUGGGUUAAGUCCCGCAACGAGCGCAACCCUUGAACUUAGUUGCCAUCAUUCAGUUGGGCACUCUAAGUUGACUGCCGGUGACAAACCGGAGGAAGGUGGGGAUGACGUCAAAUCAUCAUGCCCCUUAUGAUUUGGGCUACACACGUGCUACAAUGGACAAUACAAAGGGCAGCGAAACCGCGAGGUCAAGCAAAUCCCAUAAAGUUGUUCUCAGUUCGGAUUGUAGUCUGCAACUCGACUACAUGAAGCUGGAAUCGCUAGUAAUCGUAGAUCAGCAUGCUACGGUGAAUACGUUCCCGGGUCUUGUACACACCGCCCGUCACACCACGAGAGUUUGUAACACCCGAAGCCGGUGGAGUAACCAUUUUGGAGCUAGCCGUCGAAAGGGUGGAACAAAAUU